GUCAAAAGUUCCAAUGGCUGGGUGUGUUGGCACACACUUUUAAUUCCAGCAUUCUGAAGGCAGCGGCAGGUGGAUUUCCUGGCUUACAAGAACCUCAAAUUCAAUCAGUGUCCUGCUGUUCAAAGGUAUUUUGAAAUGUGCCAAAUCUUAAUUGAUGUGGAAGUGCCUGGAACCAGAGUUAAUACCUGGAGCGACGGGGAGCCCAAAUUAUGGAGGAACCCAGGAACCUGUGGCCGCUGGUGGCUACAGGUGGUGCCCGACGAGUGGCCUGAAAGCGGAAAGAAGGACUCGGGGUACACUGUUUUGGUGAGGCUCCACAGAAAACAGAAGAUGUAUUCUGCAUGGAACCCAGUAACCUGUGGUUGCUGGCAGCUACAAUGUAGAACUCUCAGCUAGUUUUGCAUCGAGCCUGCCUAGAUGCUACCCUGCUGCCACCAUGAAGAUGAUGGACUGAACCCUUGAACUUGUGAGCUAGCCCCAAUUAAAUGUUGUCCUUUAUAAGA
rnacentral:lncRNA from 1 species